UGCUCGCGGUCAGCUGCGGCACCAAUGGCGAUUCUGAAACGGGAAUAAACUCUUUUCACGCACGCUCAGCUGAGCUGUAAUAAACUGCUCGCUGCUGGAAAAACCUGUGGAUAUCAGACAGGAGGGAACAGCCCUGAAAGCAUGAGCUGGGGAACAGAACUGUGGGAUCAGUUUGACAGUUUGGAGAAGCACACUCUGUGGGGUAUCGAGUUCCUUGAGAGGUAUACAAAAUUUGUCAAAGAGAGAUGUGAAAUUGAAGUCAGCUAUGCAAAGCAAAUCAGGAAUCUUUCAAAGAAAUAUCAGCCUAAGAAGACCACGAGAGAGGAGGAGGAAAGCAAGUACACAUCAUGUCGUGCUUUCCUGAUGACGCUGAACGAGCUAAAUGACUAUGCUGGGCAGCAUGAAGUUAUCGCCGAGAAUCUCACCGCCCAGAUCGUCUCAGAGCUCACCCACUAUGUUCAGGAGCUGAAGGCUGAGAGGAAGUUGCAUUUCCACGAUGGACGAAAAGCCCAGCAACACAUUGAGAACUCCUGGAAACAGCUGGAAUCGAGUAAGCGCAGGUUUGAGAGGGACUGCAAAGAGGCUGACAGAGCACAGCAGUACUUUGAGAAGAUGGAUGCUGACAUCAAUGUGACAAAAGCCGAUGUGGAGAAGGCGAGGCAGCAGGCCCAGAUGAGGAACCAGAUGGCAGAGCACAGUAAGAGCGAGUACUCCUCCAGCCUGCAGAGUUUCAACCAGGAGCAGACCCAGCACUACCACACUCUCAUACCCCACAUCUUCCAGAGGAUCCAGGAGAUGGAGGAGUGCAGGAUUGGGCGGGUGGCGGACUGUAUGCGUGCGUUUGCAGAGGUGGAGCGGCGCGUCCUGCCCAUCCUCGCAAAGUGUCUGGACGGGAUGACCAAGGCAGCUGACAGCAUCCAGCCCAAAAACGACUCCAAGCAGGUGGUGGAAUCCUACAAGUCUGGGUUCGAACCCCCCGGGGACGUGGAGUUUGAAGACUAUGAACAGGCGAUGAGGAGGGUGGCAUCCGAGUCCAGCCUGCCUCACUCCCGCGGGGAGAAGGCCAGCAGCAGGAACAAGGGCAAGCUGUGGCCUUUCAUCAAGAGGAACAGGCUCAUGUCCUUGUUAACAUCCCCCCGCCAGCCCCCCCCUCCCCCUCCUGCCUCACCAGCACCCUCUGCUGUUCCUAACGGGCCCCACUCCCCCAGACAGCACAGGGACCCCCUUUCACAUCGCCUCAACGAUCUCAUGGGCUCCAAACCCAGAAUGCAUUGCUUCCGGAGCCUGAAGCGCGGGCUGUCUCUGAAGCUGGGUUCUGGCCCGGAGGACUUCAGCCACCUGCCUCCAGAGCAGCGGAGGAAGAAGCUGCAGGCGCGGCUGGAGGACAUCGGCCGGGACAUCCAGAAAGAGCUGGACCAAAAGGACGCUCUGACGAAGAUGCGAGAUGUUUACACAAAGAACCCUCAGAUGGGCGACUCCAGCAGCAUCGACCCGCGAUUGGCUGAGAUCUGCCAGAACAUCGAGAGGCUGCGGCUCGAGGCGCAGAAGUUUGAGGGCUGGCUGGCAGAGGUGGAGGGCAGGAUGCAGAAGACCGAUACCCCUAGAAGACAGAGCGGAACGUAUGAGACUCAGAAUAACACACCUGUGAACAGCACCUGCACACAGGACCGAGAGAGCCCUGAUGGCAGCUACACAGAGGACCAGAGUUCAGAGACCCAGCUCAAAGCUCCAAACUCAGAGCUAGAGGACGAGUUUGAAGACGAGGAGCCGCUGCCCACGAUUGGAACCUGCAAAUCGCUGUACCCCUUCGAAGGUCACAGUGAGGGUACGAUGUCAGUGGCGGAGGGGGAGAUUCUGCAUGUGAUUGAGGAGGAUAAGGGUGAUGGCUGGACUCGGGUGCGCAGGAAUGAUGAGGAGGAGGGCUACGUUCCCACGUCCUACAUCGAGAUCUUUCUAGACACCAACGGCAAAGGUGCUGUCACAUAUAUAUAACUGCACUGCAGGACACAGGGCCACCGCGCUUGCUGCAGGGGAUUGUGGGAUUGGUGGGGAGGUUAAGGGCGCGUACCACAGCUUGUGACUUCGACUGCAUCUCCCCCUUUUAGCCGACAGAAGGAGGGUGUCUAACCUUCACACCACCAUACACAUCUUAAAACACCUUUUCACAUCAGUAUGCACCUGUUGACAUCUUAAAAUACCUGUGCACACCUUUCCUGGUCCAGGGACACACCGGUCUGCACGGGUGUGAUCGCUGCGUAGCUCACUGUGGGUCACUGUUCCCGUCGCUCUGACAGGGACAGUUCUGCUGUCCCCAGCCUCCAGGCCACACGCGUGUCCCAGAGCACUGCAUGCUGAAUGCUUUACUGUCACGAACAGUGUCAGUAUUACACCAGUACAUAAUACCUACUUUCAUUUUUCCAUUUCAGCAUGUUAGCUGUAAUUCAGUUCCAAAAUGGACCAAAAUGAACUCAGUCAACCCCAGGAGUGUUUAAGGCUAAAUUUCCCUGUGGGCGAGAGCAGUGAGAGCUCUAUUCCUAAAAGUGUGGGGCUGGUGCAGGAAGGGGAGGGGUGACAGAUGGCCUCCUGUUAGAGCGUUAGGCAGAGAGGGCAGAGAUGGAGCCUCCCUGUCUGCACUCGCAUCUGCAUCAACUUACACGCAAACUUAUUCAGCAACCAUCACGUUAGCUCAUUUUUCCUCAAAAAGCUUUCUGAAAAGCUUUUCUGCUUGCCCAUACUGCACUGACAGAUCACUGACUGCUAACCAACCGCUCACUGACCGCUCAUCGACUGCUGACUGACCACACUCUGACCACUCACUGACUGCUCACUGACCGCUCUGGCACUGACCCCGGCGCAGCCCCCUGUGGUCAGAGGCGGGACCGGAGCAGGGAUCAGAGUGCAGCGUGGUGUCAGAGCAGCUUCAUGCCACAGGCUUCUCUGUGCUGUGAGUCUCACAGGAAGGACGUCUCUCUUGCUUCCUGUUGGAGCAGGUCACAUGACCACUCCCUUGCCUCUGACUCCAUCCACCUGUAGCUGUGACAGUCUUUUCUCUGCCCAUGCCCUAGGCUGUAGCUAUAGUGAUGUGUGUCUGACCAAACCUCCCCUCCCCUGACACUGCUUCAGCCAAUCACAGAAGGUUCUGAUGGGCGUGGCCUGCCAUUUCAGUUCAGCUGCUGCCUUCUUAUCUGGCUUGUUUGCUGCCUGUGGUUUGAUUUGAAGUCCUUUAGUUUCAUUUUGAUUGUGUCUCUUGCAUGCCCUUGCAUGUGUUACUGUGUGACCUGGAGUUUCCACACUCACAUCACAGCAGUUCUCAUUGCAUUAUUUCCUGAUAUUAAAUAUGCAAAUAUGAGAAUGUGCUUUGCA